GUAGGGUGCAAGCGUUAAUCGGAAUUACUGGGCGUAAAGCGUGCGCAGGCGGUCUUGCAAGACAGAUGUGAAAUCCCCGGGCUUAACCUGGGAACUGCAUUUGUGACUGCAAGGCUGGAGUGCGGCAGAGGGGGAUGGAAUUCCGCGUGUAGCAGUGAAAUGCGUAGAUAUGCGGAGGAACACCGAUGGCGAAGGCAAUCCCCUGGGCCUGCACUGACGCUCAUGCACGAAAGCGUGGGGAGCAAACAGGAUUAGGUACCCUGGUAGUCCACGCCCUAAACGAUGUCAACUGGUUGUUGGACGGCUUGCUGUUCAGUAACGAAGCUAACGCGUGAAGUUGACCGCCUGGGGAGUACGGCCGCAAGGUUG
rnacentral:rRNA from 1 species